UCCAAGGAAGAAAAUCAAAGAGGACAAGAAGAAGAAGGAGGAGAGGAGUGCAUCAGGUUCAAAAGGCAAAGGAAAGGGAAGGAAGGAACGCGAGGUGGAUGUCCUCACAGACAACUCUGAGCCUGUCCAACUGGUACCAGUGACGGUGGAGUUCAGUGUGGAGCUGGAGAAAUGGGAGUCUGCGGCUGAAGCUCUUCUGCUCUCACACCAAAUCUCCUAAAGCAAACAGUUUGUUUUAGCUUCAAGUGAGAUUUCAGGAUUAUCAUCAGUUAUUGAACUUAAUCCAUCAAUCCUGGUUGGGUUAGUUUUCAGGCUUAGCUUCACUUCAGACUUAACCAGUAUUACAAAAUGUAAGUAUAUGAUUUGUACCCUUAUUAUAAAGUGUUAUUAAGUGUUACAGCCUACCUAGCAGACAAACAUGUAUUAAAAUUGAUUUAUUAGU